rnacentral:lncRNA from 1 species
GAAGCCAUGGUGGGGAGAAACUGAUUUACCGUCAGCGCUACCCGUGGCUAUAUCCGAUACUACGGGGGGCUGUUUUUAUGUUUCGAGUUAGCUAAAUAUACAAGUGAAUUGUUAUUUAAAAUUUAUUUAAAUAACAUAACAUAAAAUGAGUCACAAAAGUUGUUGUGUUGUUAGUUGUAAGAAUACAGGUAGAAAAAGUGCUUGUCAUUUUUAUAAAUUUCCAACAGCAAGUUGGAAAAUAAAUCAAAGGAAAAAAUGGAUAGCCGCUGAGGAGACAAAAUAUUGAUGGCUCAUUGUGGACUCCAAAGGCACAUGAUUAUAUUUGUAGUGAUCAUUUUAUUGGAGGCCAAAAGUCUGACAUAGAAUCGAGUCCCAGCUACAUUCCUACUAAAUUUCCUACAGUUUAUAAAUCUCAAAAAGUUAAUGAGUUAAUGGUCACGAAUAGAUUUAAGCGCUUAAUGGACCGCCGGCAGAACAAAAAUGCAUCUUCAGCACUCAAUCCUGAGCCUGAAGUUAAUGAAUUGCAAGAAAUGAUUACUGAAGAUCCGCCGACAGUAACUCAUUUGAGAGUUGAUCAAGAGUGUCAAGUUAACUAGCUUUAAAGUCAAAUUAACUAGUCAAGUUAAAUAGCUUUCGUUAUUCUUGCGAAACUCUUCUACCUCUCGGACAUGUUCAGCAAGAACCAGCUUUUUUCCUUUUACCAAUGUCUGUGGCUGGAACUGAAUUUCGUGGGUUAUUGAUUGAAAUCCCGUUUUUAUUAUGGUUUCCAUUUUAAAUCCAAAUCUGAAAAUAAAAAUGAUAAAUUUAAUCGAUUAAAAAUUUUUCCCAGCUUUAUUAUUGAAUUGUAAUAUGUUAAUUUUAGUUAGCAAACAUAAUCUAUUUUUUUUGUACUUUAAAACAAUCAGCACUUUUAAUUUGUAGAAUUUUGAAACAAUAAAAUAUUUUGGUAAUUUCGUUUAAUCUAAA